rnacentral:lncRNA from 1 species
AGGAAGCGAGGCGAGCCUCAGGUGGACGCGGUGGUGUGGACCACGGCGAUCAGGGCCUUUCCCCCUGCUGUGGAGACGGAGGUGCGAGGGGACGCCGGCGGCUCCCCACCUUCUGGCCGAGUGGCCUUCUCCGCCUCCGGCUGGACUCCCUCGGGGCGCUCCCUCCAGAGCCGAGUCGGGCUGGCCGGGGGCGGCUGUUUGGCCUGAGUGUCGUCUUACUAAAGCGGAACGCCGGAGGGGAGGCCACUCCGAGAGAAGGCGGUCCCCGGCGGAGGUGGCUUCGUGAAUCCUGCAGCCCCCUGCCCGCCCGCCACUCGAGACGCCGCGCCUCGUGGGUUUCACGCUGGAUGGAGGGGGCGCCGCCGAGGAUGCCCAGCCUCCCCCUCUAAUUCUACCUCUCCAGUUCCUCAGGGGGAUCCAGAGAAGAUGAGUUAAAUUGGAAUGGACUUGAAAAAACUGAUUUAGUUGGAUUUAUGGAUCACAGUCAUGAAAAGGCUCAACCAAAUGCCUCUGCCAGGAGAAUCUUUCAGAGUGUCCUGGAACAUUGGAAAUAGGCUUAAAGCUUAAAUGAUGAAUCAGAAGAGUUAUGCUGUAUUCUAAUGCUGCCACUAGGGCCACACAGGGUGCCAACAUCCAAUCUCAAGAUCUUCGGGAAAUAUGCUCACCCUCCAAAAUACUUACAGAUGUGUCUCCUCUUUUUUGUAAAAUAAAUGCUCUUCU